GUAGGUACAGCUCAGUCGUGGAGCCCAUGCUUAGCAUGCAUGAGGUCCUGGGUUCAAUCCUCAGUACCUCCA
rnacentral:tRNA from 1 species